GAAUUCGAUUCAGGCCUAACACAUGCAAGUCGAACGGUAACGCGGGGCAACCUGGCGACGAAAAAAGAACGGGUGAGUAAUGCAUCGGAACGUACCCAGUAGUGGGGGAUAGCCCGGCGAAAGCCGGAUUAAUACCGCAUACGACCUACGGGUGAAAGGGGGGGAUCGUAAGACCUCUCGCUAUUGGAGCGGCCGAUGUCAGAUUAGGUAGUUGGUGGGGUAAAGGCCUACCAAGCCUGCGAUCUGUAGCUGGUCUGAGAGGACGACCAGCCACACUGGGUUUGGGGGACGGCCCAGACUCCUACGGGAGGCAGCAGUGGGGAAUUU
rnacentral:rRNA from 1 species